ACUCCUACGGGAGGCAGCAGUAGGGAAUCUUCCACAAUGGGCGCAAGCCUGAUGGAGUAACACCGCGUGAGUGAAGAAGGGUUUCGGCUCGUAAAGCUCUGUUUGUUAAAGAAGAACACGUAUGAGAGUAACUGUUCAUACGUUGACGGUAUUUAACCAGAAAGUCACGGCUAACUACGUGCCAGCAGCCGCGGUAAUACGUAGGUGGCAAGCGUUAUCCGGAUUUAUUGGGCGUAAAGAGAGUGCAGGCGGUUUUCUAAGUCUGAUGUGAAAGCCUUCGGCUUAACCGGAGAAGUGCAUCGGAAACUGGAUAACUUGAGUGCAGAAGAGGUAGUGGAACUCCAUGUGUAGCGGUGGAAUGCGUAGAUAUAUGGAAGAACACCAGUGGCGAAGGCGGCUACCUGGUCUGCAACUGACGCUGAGACUCGAAAGCAUGGGUAGCGAACAGGAUUAGAUACCCCUGGUAGGAUAGCG
rnacentral:rRNA from 1 species